AGAGUUUGAUCAUGGCUCAGGACGAACGCUGGCGGUGUGCCUCAAACAUGCAAGUCGAGGGAGGGUUGGCGGCUGGGAAACCAGUCGUUCAACUCUACCGGCGAACGGGUGAGUAACACGUGGGCAAUCUGCCCUGAAGACGGGGACAACCUCGGGAAACCGUGGCUAAUACCCGAUACCCUCCUCGGGGGGCAUCCCCUGGGAAGGAAAGGUCCGCAAGGUCCGCUUCGGGAGGAGCCCGCGGCCUAUCAGCUAGUUGGUGGGGUCACGGCCUACCAAGGCUAUGACGGGUAGCUGGUCUGAGAGGACGAUCAGCCACACUGGGACUGAGACACGGCCCAGACUCCUACGGGAGGCAGCAGUUGGGAAUCUUGGGCAAUGGGCGCAAGCCUGACCCAGCGACACCGCGUGGGGGACGAAGGCCCUCGGGUCGUAAACCCCUGUCAGGAGGGACGAAGCCGAAAGGUGACGGUACCUCCAGAGGAAGCCCCGGCUAACUACGUGCCAGCAGCCGCGGUAAGACGUAGGGGGCGAGCGUUGUCCGGAAUUACUGGGCGUAAAGCGCGUGCAGGCGGUUCGCUAAGUCCCGUGUUAAAGCCUCCGGCUCAACCGGAGAACGCCGCGGGAGAUCUGGCGAGCUUGAGGGCGGUAGAGGAUGAUGGAAUUACCCGGUGUAGCGGUGAAAUGCGUAGAUAUCGGGAGGAACGCCAGUGGCGAAGGCGGUCAUCUGGGCCGCAUNCUGACGCUGAGACGCGA
rnacentral:rRNA from 1 species